rnacentral:rRNA from 1 species
AUUGAACGCUGGCGGCAGGCCUAACACAUGCCAGUCGAACGGUAACAGGAAGAAGCUUGCUUCUUUGCUGACGAGUGGCGGACGGGUGAGUCAUGUCUGGGAAACUGCCUGAUGGAGGGGGAUAACUACUGGAAACGGUAGCUAAUACCGCAUAACGUCGCAAGACCAAAGAGGGGGACCUUCGGGCCUCUUUCCAUCCGAUGUGCCCAGAUGGGAUUAGCUAGUAGGUGGGGUAACGGCUCACCUAGGCGACGAUCCCUAGCUGGUCUGAGAGGAUGACCAGCCACACUGGAACUGAGACACGGUCCAGACUCCUACGGGAGGCAGCAGUGGGGAAUAUUGCGCAAUGGGCGAAAGCCUGAUGGAGCCAUGCCGCGUGUAUGAAGAAGGCCUUCGGGUUGUAAAGUACUUUCAGCGGGGAGGAAGGGAGUAAAGUUAAUACCUGUGCUCAUUGACGUUACCCGCAGAAGAAGCACCGGCUAACUCCGUG